rnacentral:rRNA from 1 species
UGAGGAAUAUUGGUCAAUGGGCGCAAGCCUGAACCAGCCAAGUAGCGUGAGGGAAGACUGCCCUACGGGUUGUAAACCUCUUUUGUUUGGGAAUAAAGUGCGGGACGUGUCCCGCAUUGCAUGUACCAUUUGAAUAAGGACCGGCUAAUUCCGUGCCAGCAGCCGCGGUAAUACGGAAGGUCCGGGCGUUAUCCGGAUUUAUUGGGUUUAAAGGGAGCGUAGGCCGGCUUUUAAGCGUGUUGUGAAAUGCCGCGGCUCAACCGUGGCACUGCAGCGCGAACUGGAGGCCUUGAGUGCGCGGGAGGUAGGCGGAAUUCGUGGUGUAGCGGUGAAAUGCUUAGAUAUCACGAAGAACUCCGAUUGCGAAGGCAGCUUACCGUAGCGUUACUGACGCUGAAGCUCGAAAGUGCGGGUAUCGAACAGGAUUAGAUACCCUGGUAGU